GACGAACGCUGGCGGCGUGCCUAAUACAUGCAAGUAGAACGCACAGUUUAUACCGUAGCUUGCUACACCAUAGACUGUGAGUUGCGAACGGGUGAGUAACGCGUAGGUAACCUGCCUGGUAGCGGGGGAUAACUAUUGGAAACGAUAGCUAAUACCGCAUAAUAUUAAUUAUUGCAUGAUAAUUAAUUGAAAGGUGCAAUUGCACCACUACCAGAUGGACCUGCGUUGUAUUAGCUAGUAGGUGAGGUAACGGCUCACCUAGGCGACGAUACAUAGCCGACCUGAGAGGGUGAUCGGCCACACUGGGACUGAGACACGGCCCAGACUCCUACGGGAGGCAGCAGUAGGGAAUCUUCGGCAAUGGACGAAAGUCUGACCGAGCAGCGCCGCGUGAGUGAAGAAGGUUUUCGGAUCGUAAAGCUCUGUUGUAAGAGAAGAACGGGUGUGAGAGUGGAAAGUUCACACUGUGACGGUAUCUUACCAGAAAGGGACGGCUAACUACGU
rnacentral:rRNA from 1 species